rfam:Kluyvera ascorbata ATCC 33433 GKAS.assembly.037, whole genome shotgun sequence.
UUAUUGCCAUCUUCGAAUGUGCGCUGUAUCACUUCAAACCUGAGGCCAGGAUCAGUAUGAUGGGAUGAGAUGAACCCUUGCCGCUGGCGGUGAGGGUUUUCUUUUGGA